UACGUAGGGUGCGAGCGUUAUCCGGAAUCAUUGGGCGUAAAGAGCUCGUAGGCGGUUCAACAAGUCGGCUGUGAAAGUCCGGGGCUCAACCCCGGAAUUGCAGUCGAUACUGUUGUGACUUGAGUCCGGUAGAGGAGAAUGGAAUUCCCGGUGUAGCGGUGGAAUGCGCAGAUAUCGGGAGGAACACCAGUAGCGAAGGCGGUUCUCUGGGCCGGCACUGACGCUGAGGAGCGAAAGCGUGGGGAGCAAACAGG
rnacentral:rRNA from 1 species